rnacentral:rRNA from 1 species
GACGAACGCUGGCGGCGUGCCUAAUACAUGCAAGUCGAACGCACUCUCGUUUAGAUUGAAGGAGCUUGCUCCUGAUUGAUAAACAUUUGAGUGAGUGGCGGACGGGUGAGUAACACGUGGGUAACCUGCCCUAAAGUGGGGGAUAACAUUUGGAAACAGAUGCUAAUACCGCAUAAAACCUAACACCGCAUGGUGUAGGGUUGAAAGAUGGUUUCGGCUAUCACUUUAGGAUGGACCCGCGGUGCAUUAGUUAGUUGGUGAGGUAAAGGCUCACCAAGACCGUGAUGCAUAGCCGACCUGAGAGGGUAAUCGGCCACACUGGGACUGAGACACGGCCCAGACUCCUACGGGAGGCAGCAGUAGGGAAUCUUCCACAAUGGACGAAAGUCUGAUGGAGCAACGCCGCGUGAGUGAAGAAGGUUUUCGGAUCGUAAAACUCUGUUGUUGGAGAAGAAUGUAUCUGAUAGUAACUGAUCAGGUAGUGACGGUAUCCAACCAGAAAGCCACGGCUAACUACGUGCCAGCAGCCGCGGUAAUACGUAGGUGGCAAGCGUUGUCCGGAUUUAUUGGGCGUAAAGCGAGCGCAGGCGGUUUCUUAAGUCUGAUGUGAAAGCCUUCGGCUCAACCGAAGAAGUGCAUCGGAAACUGGGAAACUUGAGUGCAGAAGAGGACAGUGGAACUCCAUGUGUAGCGGUGAAAUGCGUAGAUAUAUGGAAGAACACCAGUGGCGAAGGCGGCUGUCUGGUCUGUAACUGACGCUGAGGCUCGAAAGCAUGGGUAGCAAACAGGAUUAGAUACCCUGGUAGUCCAUGCCGUAAACGAUGAGUGCUAGGUGUUGGAGGGUUUCCGCCCUUCA